rnacentral:rRNA from 1 species
CCGCGGGACUUAAGCAUAUCAAUAAGCGGAGGAAAAGAAACCAACAGGGAUUGCCCUAGUAACGGCGAGUGAAGCGGCAACAGCUCAAAUUUGAAAUCUGGCUCUUUUAGAGUCCGAGUUGUAAUUUGCAGAGGGCGCUUUGGCUUUGGCAGCGGUCCAAGUUCCUUGGAACAGGACGUCACAGAGGGUGAGAAUCCCGUACGUGGUCGCUGGCUAUUGCCGUGUAAAGCCCCUUCGACGAGUCGAGUUGUUUGGGAAUGCAGCUCUAAAUGGGAGGUACAUUUCUUCUAAAGCUAAAUAUUGGCCAGAGACCGAUAGCGCACAAGUAGAGUGAUCGAAAGAUGAAAAGCACUUUGGAAAGAGAGUCAAACAGCACGUGAAAUUGUUGAAAGGGAAGCGCUUGCAGCCAGACUUGCUUACAGUUGCUCAUCCGGGUUUCUACCCGGUGCACUCUUCUGUAGGCAGGCCAGCAUCAGUUUGGGCGGUAGGAUAAAGGUCUCUGUCACGUACCUCCUUUCGGGGAGGCCUUAUAGGGGAGACGACAUACUACCAGCCUGGACUGAGGUCCGCGCAUCUGCUAGGAUGCUGGCGUAAUGGCUGUAAGCGGCCCGUCUUGAAACACGGACCAAGGAGUCUAACAUCUAUGCGA